GGGCGAUUGGCUCAGUGGUAGAGCGCCCGCUUUGCAUUGUCCACUUUGUCUGCGGGAGGCCCAGGGUUCAAUCCCCUGAUCGUCCA
rnacentral:tRNA from 2 species